CGCCCAAGGCGGCCAGCGACGCGGGCAAGGCGGGCGCGCACCCGCUGGAGCCCCACUACCGCCCCCCGGGCGGCGGCUACGAGCCCAAGAAAGAUGCCAGUGAGGGCUGCACCGCGGUCGGCGGGGGCGUCCAGCCCUACCUAUAGAAGCCAGAGCUCCGCAGUGCGCGUAAGUGGCACCCCGUGAGGCCUCCGCCCCAGGGGGCCUCCCUCCACCAAGUGAGCUGCAAACUUGCUUCAUGUGUAUUUCUUGCCUCUGGUCCUGGAGUCUGAGGACGGAGCACUGCAGUGUUCUUCCGUCUUUCUGUCUUUCUUCUUCUCCCUUUAGUGGGAGACCUUUAGCCGGUCUCUUUUGUAGAGUCCCUCUUUUUCCACUCCAGUUCUGCUUUGAAGAUUCCCACCUUUCACUGGAAUCCGCAUGGCGCACCACUGCUGUUGUUUUCUCUUUGAAAAAUAGAUUACUAACAUUUGGGUGUCUGGACACAGUUUGGAACCAUUUCAGCGCACUAGACACGUAAGAGACACUGGCUUCCACGAGCUAGGGCUCGGGAGGCUGGGGCCUCGGAGCCCCUUAGAGGCGCUGUUUGCAGAGUAAGCCCGAGCAGUGGGCCGCGCUGGCCGUCUAUCAGGCUGCCCCCUCCCCCCGUGUCCGGAUGGACUGGGUAGGGGCAGUUCGCCGGGCCCACAGCAGUCUCUCACAGCACUACCUGCUUUACAACUAGGCAAAAUCAUAAUCACAGAUCUCGAAGAUGCUGGGAAAGAGACGAAAUCCUUUCAGAUUGACUCGUUUUUGUAAUGUGUUCACGUUGAUGUGUAACUGAAGGAUUUGGGAUUAUUUGGUUUUUUCCUUGGUCCACAGGUAGGUGUCACAAUUGCUUUGGAAAAAAAAAGUCAGCAGGCCAUUCUCUCUCCCCAAGUUCAUAAAUAUACAGAUAGAAAAACCCCAUCUCUAAAUCGGACCGCAUCUGGGGCCACUGUAACCGAGACGGACGCACAGACUCUAGCAGGACAGACCUUUGUCGGACCUAACGUGAAUGUGUUGGCAUAGUAUAGCUUCCCCGAUGUAUGUGUGACUUUUGAAAACAAUCUUUUUUCUCAGGAUAUCUUGAAUUGAUCACUUCAUUGCCACGGUAUAUAUUCUAUAGGUGUGAUAGGAUUUACUGUAAAAUUUAUUUGUAAAAGAUGUACACAGUAGAAAUAAAACGUGAUCGAAGAACUUGAGUACUUAAGAAGUGGAAACAAAUUUGAUAUUUAUUUUUAUAAUGAUAUAAAGCUUCUAGUAAUUUAUGCAAGUUGUAUUGCAAUGGAAUCUAAACUUUUUGUAAAUAAAUUCUGCCUGGUUUUUAUUUGAACAUUGCUGGUUAUACAAUCUUUGUUGGUUGUUUAACAAGAAUUCUUUACUAAUUUAUAUCUUAAAUUGUAAAUAAAAACAGACUAGCCUACGA